GGGUUGUGAGGUUAAGCGACUAAGCGUACACGGUGGAUGCCCUGGCAGUCAGAGGCGAUGAAGGGCGUGCUAAUCUGCGAUAAGCGCCGGUAAGGUGAUAUGAACCGUUAUAACCGGCGAUACCCGAAUGGGGAAACCCAGUGUGAUUCGUCACACUAUCAUUAACUGAAUCCAUAGGUUAAUGAGGCGAACCGGGGGAACUGAAACAUCUAAGUACCCCGAGGAAAAGAAAUCAACCGAGAUUCCCCCAGUAGCGGCGAGCGAACGGGGAGGAGCCCAGAGCCUGAAUCAGCAUGUGUGUUAGUGGAAGCGUCUGGAAAGGCGCGCGAUACAGGGUGACAGCCCCGUACACAAAAGCGCAUGUGCUGUGAGCUCGAUGAGUAGGGCGGGACACGUGGUAUCCUGUCUGAAUAUGGGGGGACCAUCCUCCAAGGCUAAAUACUCCUGACUGACCGAUAGUGAACCAGUACCGUGAGGGAAAGGCGAAAAGAACCCCGGCGAGGGGAGUGAAAAAGAACCUGAAACCGUGUACGUACAAGCAGUGGGAGCCCCACCACUAAGCCAGUGGUGAACUCCACAUACGCAUCCUUUGCUGAGGAUACGGUUAACGGAGCGAAAGCGACGUUCAACCGCAAAAGAAGCAGAGGGGGCUUAGUGGUGGGGUGACUGCGUACCUUUUGUAUAAUGGGUCAGCGACUUAUAUUCUGUAGCAAGGUUAACCGAAUAGGGGAGCCGGAGGGAAACCGAGUCUUAAUUGGGCGUUAAGUUGCAGGGUAUAGACCCGAAACCCGGUGAUCUAGCCAUGGGCAGGUUGAAGGUUGGGUAACACUAACUGGAGGACCGAACCGACUAAUGUUGAAAAAUUAGCGGAUGACCUGUGGCUGGGGGUGAAAGGCCAAUCAAACCGGGAGAUAGCUGGUUCUCCCCGAAAGCUAUUUAGGUAGCGCCUCGUGAAUUCAUCUCCGGGGGUAGAGCACUGUUUCGGCUAGGGGGCCAUCCCGGCUUACCAACCCGAUGCAAACUGCGAAUACCGGAGAAUGUUAUCACGGGAGACACACGGCGGGUGCUAACGUCCGUCGUGAAGAGGGAAACAACCCAGACCGCCAGCUAAGGUCCCAAAGUCAUGGUUAAGUGGGAAACGAUGUGGGAAGGCCCAGACAGCCAGGAUGUUGGCUUAGAAGCAGCCAUCAUUUAAAGAAAGCGUAAUAGCUCACUGGUCGAGUCGGCCUGCGCGGAAGAUGUAACGGGGCUAAACCAUGCACCGAAGCUGCGGCAGCGACACUCAGGUGUUGUUGGGUAGGGGAGCGUUCUGUAAGCCUGUGAAGGUGGCCUGUGAGGGUUGCUGGAGGUAUCAGAAGUGCGAAUGCUGACAUAAGUAACGAUAAAGCGGGUGAAAAGCCCGCUCGCCGGAAGACCAAGGGUUCCUGUCCAACGUUAAUCGGGGCAGGGUGAGUCGACCCCUAAGGCGAGGCCGAAAGGCGUAGUCGAUGGGAAACGGGUUAAUAUUCCCGUACUUGGUGUUACUGCGAAGGGGGGACGGAGAAGGCUAUGUUGGCCGGGCGACGGUUGUCCCGGUUUAAGCGUGUAGGCUGGUUUUCCAGGCAAAUCCGGAAAAUCAAGGCUGAGGCGUGACGACGAGGCACUACGGUGCUGAAGCAACAAAUGCCCUGCUUCCAGGAAAAGCCUCUAAGCAUCAGGUAACAUCAAAUCGUACCCCAAACCGACACAGGUGGUCAGGUAGAGAAUACCAAGGCGCUUGAGAGAACUCGGGUGAAGGAACUAGGCAAAAUGGUGCCGUAACUUCGGGAGAAGGCACGCUGACACGUAGGUGAAGUGAUUUACUCACGGAGCUGAAGUCAGUCGAAGAUACCAGCUGGCUGCAACUGUUUAUUAAAAACACAGCACUGUGCAAACACGAAAGUGGACGUAUACGGUGUGACGCCUGCCCGGUGCCGGAAGGUUAAUUGAUGGGGUCAGCGCAAGCGAAGCUCCUGAUCGAAGCCCCGGUAAACGGCGGCCGUAACUAUAACGGUCCUAAGGUAGCGAAAUUCCUUGUCGGGUAAGUUCCGACCUGCACGAAUGGCGUAAUGAUGGCCAGGCUGUCUCCACCCGAGACUCAGUGAAAUUGAACUCGCUGUGAAGAUGCAGUGUACCCGCGGCAAGACGGAAAGACCCCGUGAACCUUUACUAUAGCUUGACACUGAACAUUGAGCCUUGAUGUGUAGGAUAGGUGGGAGGCUUUGAAGCGUGGACGCCAGUCUGCGUGGAGCCGACCUUGAAAUACCACCCUUUAAUGUUUGAUGUUCUAACGUGGACCCGUAAUCCGGGUUGCGGACAGUGUCUGGUGGGUAGUUUGACUGGGGCGGUCUCCUCCUAAAGAGUAACGGAGGAGCACGAAGGUUGGCUAAUCCUGGUCGGACAUCAGGAGGUUAGUGCAAUGGCAUAAGCCAGCUUGACUGCGAGCGUGACGGCGCGAGCAGGUGCGAAAGCAGGUCAUAGUGAUCCGGUGGUUCUGAAUGGAAGGGCCAUCGCUCAACGGAUAAAAGGUACUCCGGGGAUAACAGGCUGAUACCGCCCAAGAGUUCAUAUCGACGGCGGUGUUUGGCACCUCGAUGUCGGCUCAUCACAUCCUGGGGCUGAAGUAGGUCCCAAGGGUAUGGCUGUUCGCCAUUUAAAGUGGUACGCGAGCUGGGUUUAGAACGUCGUGAGACAGUUCGGUCCCUAUCUGCCGUGGGCGCUGGAGAACUGAGGGGGGCUGCUCCUAGUACGAGAGGACCGGAGUGGACGCAUCACUGGUGUUCGGGUUGUCAUGCCAAUGGCACUGCCCGGUAGCUAAAUGCGGAAGAGAUAAGUGCUGAAAGCAUCUAAGCACGAAACUUGCCCCGAGAUGAGUUCUCCCUGAGACUUAGAGUCUCCUGAAGGAACGUUGAAGACGACGACGUUGAUAGGCCGGGUGUGUAAGCGCAGCGAUGCGUUGAGCUAACCGGUACUAAUGAACCGUGAGGCUUAACCUUACAACGCCGAAG
rnacentral:rRNA from 2 species